rnacentral:rRNA from 1 species
UACGUAGGGUGCAAGCGUUGUCCGGAAUUAUUGGGCGUAAAGAGCUCGUAGGCGGUCUGUCACGUCGGAUGUGAAAACUCGGGGCUCAACCCCGAGCCUGCAUACGAUACGGGCAGACUUGAGUUCGGCAGGGGAGACUGGAAUUCCUGGUGUAGCGGUGAAAUGCGCAGAUAUCAGGAAGAACACCCGUGGCGAAGGCGGCUCUCUGGGACGGUACUGACGCUGAGACGCGAAAGCGUGGGGAGCAAACAGG